rnacentral:rRNA from 1 species
UACGGGGGGGGCAAGCGUUGUUCGGAAUUACUGGGCGUAAAGGGCUCGUAGGCGGCCAACUAAGUCGGACGUGAAAUCCCCAGGCUCAACCUGGGAACUGCGUCCGAUACUGGAUGGCUUGAAUCCGGGAGAGGGAUGCAGAAUUCCAGGUGUAGCGGUGAAAUGCGUAGAUAUCUGGAGGAACACCGGUGGCGAAGGCAGCAUCCUGGACCGGCAUUGACGCUGAAGAGCGAAAGCCAGGGGAGCAAACGGG